AACAAUCUUGCUUGGACUAUGUUCUAAUUAAACUGGUUAUAAGUUGGAUGCCUGCAUUAAGCAACACAUGGUCGAGGUCACAACAAACCAAGAGGCAGUUUAGUACAGUAUUGCUGAUCCCCUGACCUGUGCAGCUGACUUCACCCUCUCUGCUCCUCCAACUGGCAAAGUCUGACAUCAUCCCUGGGGUCUUGGCAAGGUGCUCUUUUCUUGCUGUCACUGCUUCUGUCACUUCUGUGUCCGCCGCCUCCGAGUUGGAGGUGGUCUCGCCUCGCAGGUCCCGCGUCUCUACCGCGCUGGACAUUGACUGACGGGUAUCCGAGCUCCAAGUCGACCGACGGGAUCCUAGCUCAUCUUCUAAUGUUGCCAUCUGAGUUGGAGCAAGGAUGGAGAUACACAGGGUCCUGAACUCCCAAAACAAAUAAAAAUAUUACCGAAUUGAAAAGGCAACCGUGAAGCCAUGUGAAUGCGACGGAAUUCGCUGCUUGAGACACGAGCAGCCGAACUCCAUGCUGAGGAAUUGAACACUGUCAACUCUGCUGCCAUUUUGGAAGAUGAACAGACACAUCUGUAUGUAUAAUGUUAGGGUAGGAAAGGGUAGAUACUCAAACAUCUGUUCCCUAGCUAUUGGAUUUUUUUCCCUCAGUCAAAAGGGAGUGGAGACCUGAAUAAAUAUUACUUGUAACCUAAUCCUUUUUACUUCUUUCAGUUUGACUCUGCCAUUGACUUCUUUCCAAAUUCCUUCCCUUUUCGCUUGAUGUUCAUUUCUCCAAAAUGUUUUGAGAUAUUCAGCUGCGUAAUUGGAAGAUUUUUCAUUGUGAAAUUGCUUAUAAUUUCAAGUUUUUAUUUGUCCAUCAUUUUGAAGACAAAAAGAACUUUGGAAAAGAAGCUGAGAAUUUCACUUUCCUGUUUAACCACACCAUUGUGUAAGUCUUAAGUUACUGGCGUAGCAUUCCAGAGGCCCAGAUUACUGACCCACAGUCAUUUGUUCAAAUUCCAACAUGGCAGCUCAGGAAUUUACAUUCGGUUAUCAAAUAAAUCUGAACUGAA